rnacentral:rRNA from 1 species
AGGAAGAGAAAAUAAAUGAAUGAUUCCCCCAGUAGUGGCGAGCGAACGGGGAACAGCCCAAACCGUUGACGUCGCAAGGCGCCAGCGGGGUUGUAGGACCGCGACAUUGUAUGCAAAUCGUGAACAGAACACUUUGGAAAAUGUGACCAUAGACGGUGAUAGUCCAGUAUGUGAAGCGAAAUGCAGCAUAGCGGUAUCCUGAGUAACGCGGGACACGAGGAAUCCUGCGCGAAUCUGCCGGGACCAUCCGGUAAGGCUAAAUACUCCCGUGAGACCGAUAGCGAACGAGUACUGUGAAGGAAAGGUGAAAAGAACCCCGAGCAGGGGAGUGAAAUAGUUCCUGAAACCAUACGCCUACAAGCGGUCGGAGCAUCUUACGAUGUGACGGCGUGCCUUUUGCAUAAUGAUCCUACGAGUUACCGUCACUGGCGAGGUUGAGUGUCAUGAGACACGUAGCCGCAGUGAAAGCGAGCCUGAACAGGGCGCAUAGUCAGUGGGGGUAGACGCGAAACCAAGUGAUCUACACUUGGCCAGGAUGAAGUCCCGGUAACACGGGAUGGAGGUCCGCACCAAUAAGCGUUGAAAAGCUUCUGGAUGAGCCGAGUGUAGGAGUGAAAGGCCAAUCAAACUUGGAGAUAGCUCGUACUCCCCGAAAGGCAUUUAGGUGCCGCGUCGGAUGGUCACCGUGAGAGGUAGAGCGACCGAUAGGACAAGAGGGCUUCACCGCCUAUCGAGUCCUGACGAACUCCGAAUGCUCACGGUUUGCAGUCCGGCAGUAAGGGGGCGGGUGCUAAGGUCCGUCCCCGAGAGGAGAAGAAUCCAGACCGCCGUCUAAGGUCCCGGAGUUCUGCCUGAGUUAGUCUAACGAAGUCUGGUCCCUAUGACAGCUAGGAUGUUGGCUUGGAAGCAGCCAUUCAUUCAAAGAGUGCGUAACAGCUCACUAGUCGAGGGUCCGGGCAUGGAUAAUAAUCGGGUAUAAGGCAGACACCGAAGGCGCGGGAUAGCAUUUAAGAAAGUAUCGGUAGGGGAGCAUACUCACAGCGUGGAAUGGUGUACGUAAGUUAUCCUGGAGCGGUGAGUAAAGCAAAUGUAGGAAUAAGUAACGAUAAGGAGGGUUAGAUUCCCUCCCGCUGUAAGACCAAGGUUUCCCGGGCAAUGCCAAUCAGCCCGGGGUCAGUCGGGUCCUAAGUCUAAGCCGAACGGCGAUGGCGAUGGCAGAGACGGUUAAUAUUCCGUCACUGCCGCAUGGGGCGA